AAUGAACAAAUUCGGGACAUUUCCUCUUAAAAAGAUAAGAUAAAGAUAUGACCCACAUAAAUGAAAUGUAAUCCAUGAGCUGGAAUUCGGUGCAUGCGCAUGCAAGUCGCCGUGGAAAUGAGCUGGAAUACAGGAGCUCUCCAGUCGCAAGUCCUAUGACCGUGAAGAAACCACUUCCGCCGUGUGAACAGUGCAGUCUGCACGGUGGUAGGUACAUCAACCUUAUCGCCUCCGUCCGUCCGUCGUCGUCGCAGCUGGAAGAAGAAGAAGAAGAGACUGAUGCGCGUCGCGGGGUCCGAUCUCACCCUACUGGCCAUGAAAUCCCGCACGUGAAUUCCUGCUGAUUUCUGCACGCGGUGUUGACUCUCUGUUGUCAUGCUGUGUGAAUGCAGUCCCGCCUCUUCACGUUGUUGCCCUCGUGGGGAUGGGUGAUGGUAAGGUCAAAACAGACUGCGGGCCUUUACAGUGUGCGGCUGGCUGGCUUACAGCGAUUGUGGGUGAGCUCACUGGAUUUCAUUCUCUCGUUGUUGGCCUUGGCUCGUGACCGUCGAGCCCUGUCAAAUAGUCGCGUGAUGGCAAGCUCAUUUGGAUGGUGUCAGUGGAAAAUCAGAUCUCUCGCGUGAGAAGUUGGAGAAUUUAAAGCCGGUCUGGGGAAUGCUGAUCCCUUCAAGUUCUCGUGUGUGUUGGGCAUCAAGUACUGUUUGCCUGCAUGCUUGAAGAUCAUAUGUCGAGAAAAGUUGGGGCUUGGAAGAGUUUGCUGGUUGUCUGAGAAGAGGCAGAAAUUGUCGACACAGUGAUCAACGUGGAAAUGUCCUGUGCAUGAAAUUGAUGUGAAAGAAACUGUAGGCUUCACAAAUGAAGCAAGUUGUAUACUUCUCGAAACCUCUCAACAAGGUUCAUUGUACAGAUUCAACCGCUGGGCUGUUGUACAAGUUAUUCAAAGUCUAUCUACAGUUCCAGCUC